UUGGGCGUAAAGCGCGCGCAGGCGGUUUCUUAAGUCUGAUGUGAAAGCCCACGGCUUAACCGUGGAGGGUCAUUGGAAACUGGGAGACUUGAGUGCAGAAGAGGAAAGUGGAAUUCCAAGUGUAGCGGUGAAAUGCGUAGAGAUUUGGAGGAACACCAGUGGCGAAGGCGACUUUCUGGUCUGCAACUGACGCUGAGGCGCGAAAGCAUGGGGAGCAAACAGGAUUAGAUACCCUGGUAGUCCAUGCCGUAAACGAUGAGUGCUAAGUGUUAGGGGGUUUCCGCCCCUUAGUGCUGCAGCUAACGCAUUAAGCACUCCGCCUGGGGAGUACGACCGCAAGGUUGAAACUCAAAGGAAUUGACGGGGGCCCGCACAAGCGGUGGAGCAUGUGGUUUAAUUCGAAGCAACGCGAAGAACCUA
rnacentral:rRNA from 1 species